rnacentral:misc_RNA from 1 species
UAUUGUCAACAGAACCGGCUGACAGUAGGUUUCUUGUUGCAGUUAUUAGUUGGUGGUGCAGUAAAUUGAAAGCACUCUGUAUUUGAAUUGUUUUUAAUCAAUGAUUAAUGUCUAGCAUGUCAAUUUAAUUUAUGGGAAUGAAUUGAAUAUUCUUCUGAUUAUAAACUGAGAGGCUACAUCAUGCUUUUUACGUGAAACUCAUACAAAUUAUGGUGCCCCAUUGCAACAGCAUAUUUUUCUUCUUUUUUCG